rnacentral:rRNA from 1 species
CCUACGGGUGGCUGCAGUGAGGAAUAUUGGUCAAUGGGCGUAAGCCUGAACCAGCCAAGUCGCGUGAGGGAUGAAGGUUCUAUGGAUCGUAAACCUCUUUUAUAAGGGAAUAAAGUGUGGGACGUGCUCUGUUUUGUAUGUACCUUAUGAAUAAGGCUCGGCUAACUCUGUGCCAGCAGCCGCGGUAAUCCGGAGGAUCCGAGCGUUAUCCGGAUUUAUUGGGUUUAAAGGGUGCGUAGGCGGCCUUUUAAGUCAGCGGUGAAAGUCUGUGGCUCAACCAUAUAAUUGCCGUUGAAACUGGGAGGCUUGAGUAUGUUUGAGGCAGGCGGAAUGCGUGGUGUAGCGGUGAAAUGCUUAGAUAUCACGCAGAACCCCGAUUGCGAAGGCAGC